rnacentral:rRNA from 1 species
GAGUUUGAUCGUGGCUCAGGACGAACGCUGGCGGCGUGCUUAACACAUGCAAGUCGAACGGAAAGGCCCUGCUUUUGUGGGGUGCUCGAGUGGCGAACGGGUGAGUAACACGUGAGUAACCUGCCCUUGACUUUGGGAUAACUUCAGGAAACUAGGGGCUAAUACCGGAUAGGAGCUCCUGCUGCAUGGUGGGGGUUGGAAAGUUUCGGCGGUUGGGGAUGGACUCGCGGCUUAUCAGCUUGUUGGUGGGGUAGUGGCUUACCAAGGCUUUGACGGGUAGCCGGCCUGAGAGGGUGACCGGCCACAUUGGGACUGAGAUGCGGCCCAGACUCCUACGGGAGGCAGCAGUGGGGAAUAUUGCACAAUGGGCGGAAGCCGUGAUGCAGCAACGCCGCGUGCGGGAUGACGG